AUCGCCUGAAAAACAAUAUUAGUUACCUCUGGGUUUCUGAAUACUGUUUGAUAUUUUCGGUAAAUAUUCUGCAUAAUAUGAAUGCUCUAAUAUUUGUACUGAAAGGGAAGGUUAUGGCGACUUACCUUAUAUGUUUCUAUUCCAUCGCAUGAAUAAGGAUUGGUAAAUAGUUGAAAAUAGGUUGGAACAAUAUAUUUUGUAAAUAUUCGUAAACAAGGUUAAGAGACAGCUGUUGGUUGACAUCUGCCGAACUUUCGUAGUGUCGUUCCGUCGACUUACACCGAACUAGUUCUACAGUUGUUCACGGGUGAGGGAUUGAUCGGUUACUCAAGUUGUCAAGGGUUGUUUUAGGGUUGCAUUGCUUUGAGAAGGAGUUUUGAUGGGUCAUGGACUUGUUGAUGAUGUAUCAAGUGGCUGUGGAGGAAUUGUUAGAUUUAUGAUGUUGUGCACAGCGCCCCCUUGGUGCUUGUAGUGUAGAUUGGAUGCACUGUGGCAACAACUGGUUAGCUGUCAGAUGUGGCAUUCUCUUAGUAUUUGGAAGUUAGCCUUCGGUGAGCUUGGUUCGGAGUUCAAAGGGUAUCAUCAGACUGAUUGUAGGAUAUAUUUGGUUGUAUUUGUGCCAUCCUUCACGGGGAUUAUUUCUACAAGUCAGGAUUGUAUAGUGGAAGACUGAUUGGUCAUUUUGGUGUGGAUAUUUGCAGUCGGAAACUUAAGCUCUUUUGAGGAUUUGUGGUGGAUACCGAACUCGUGCCAGGUGGAAGGAUUUCCGAAAUUAGAUUCAUAAGAAACAGAAGGCCCUCAGUCACUCAUCAAGUCCCAGCAGGACUUCCGUGCAGAACACCGCACACGAAGAAUCGUAUAGAAAACCCCUUGGCCAGGGGUUUUUCUUCCUGCUUUUCUUCCUGCUUUUUUUUGUCUUCGUCAAGGGUUCCUGUUUUCCUUUAUUUUCUUUCUGGAUCUUAUUUGGUGAUCCAUUACUGGUCCAGCUUGUCGUGCCCUACAGGGUGAUCUAUCUUGGUGGUGCUACAGGGUGAUCCAUCUCCGCCGUACUACAGGGUGAUCCACCGGUGCUAC